rnacentral:rRNA from 1 species
CCUUGUACACACCGCCCGUCACGCCAUGAGAGCUGUUUGUACCCGAAAUUGUCUUAGCUAACCCGUAAGGGGGCGGAUACCUAAGGUAUGGAUGGUGAUUGGGGCG